CCGCUCGGUAAAGCCAACAUAUAUGCAGUAGUCAACCGCUUCUUUAAUUCUAAAAAACUCCUUUCACAGUCCUCAUUCCACUCAAACUUGACGUUAUUCUUUGUGAGCUGAGUCAAAGGAGCGGCUAUCUAGAAAAUCCUUCUACGAACCUCCGGUAAUAACCUAUAAUUCCCAAAAAGUAACGAAUCUCCUUGACCGAUGUUAAUUUUUUUCAACCGAG
rnacentral:lncRNA from 1 species